rnacentral:rRNA from 1 species
AGAUUGAACGCUGGCGGCAGGCCUAACACAUGCAAGUCGAGCGGUAGAGAGGUGCUUGCAUCUCUUGAGAGCGGCGGACGGGUGAGUAAUGCCUAGGAAUCUGCCUAGGUGGUGGGGGAUAACGGUUCGGAAACGGACGCUAAUACCGCAUACGUCCUACGGGAGAAAGCGGGGGACCUUCGGGCCUCGCGCCAUUAGAUGAGCCUAGGUCGGAUUAGCUAGUUGGUGAGGUAAUGGCUCACCAAGGCGACGAUCCGUAACUGGUCUGAGAGGAUGAUCAGUCACACUGGAACUGAGACACGGUCCAGACUCCUACGGAGGCAGCAGUGGGGAAUA